GACAGAGGGUGCAAACGUUGUUCGGAAUCACUGGGCGUAAAGGGCGUGUAGGCGGUCCGCUAAGUCUGAUGUGAAAGCCCGGGGCUCACCCCCGGAAGGGCAUUGGAAACUGACGGACUCGAGUCCCGAAGAGGAGGGUGGAAUUCCUGGUGUAGCGGUGAAAUGCGUAGAUAUCAGGAGGAACACCGGUGGCGAAGGCGGCCCUCUGGACGGUGACUGACGCUGAGACGCGAAAGCGUGGGGAGCAAACAGG
rnacentral:rRNA from 1 species